GACGAACGCUGGCGGCGUGCUUAACACAUGCGAGUCGAACGGAAAGGCCCUGCUUUUGUGGGGUGCUCGAGUGGCGAACGGGUGAGUAACACGUGAGUAACCUGCCCUUGACUUUGGGAUAACUUCAGGAAACUGGGGCUAAUACCGGAUAGGAGCUCCUGCUGCAUGGUGGGGGUUGGAAAGUUUCGGCGGUUGGGGAUGGACUCGCGGCUUAUCAGCUUGUUGGUGGGGUAGUGGCUUACCAAGGCUUUGACGGGUAGCCGGCCUGAGAGGGUGACCGGCCACAUUGGGACUGAGAUACGGCCCAGACUCCUACGGGAGGCAGCAGUGGGGAAUAUGGCACAAUGGGCGGAAGCCUGAUGCAGCAACGCCGCGUGCGGGAUGACGGCCUUCGGGUUGUAAACCGCUUUCGCCUGUGACGAAGCGUGAGUGACGGUAAUGGGUAAAGAAGCACCGGCUAACUACGUG
rnacentral:rRNA from 1 species